rnacentral:tRNA from 1 species
AAGUAUGAAGCGAUAAAUUGCAAUUAGUUUCGACCUAAUCUUAGAUAAAUAUAUCCUUACUUU